ACCCCAGUAGUUCCUAGCUGUAACCGAUGGAAACUAGGUGUAGCAUGUAUCGACCCGUGCUGUAUCGUAGCUAACGCGUUAAGUUGCCCGCCAUGGGAGUACGCACGCAAGUGUGAAACUCAAAGGAAAUGACGGGGGCCCGCACAAGCGGUGGAGUAUGUGGUCUAAAUUCGAUGCAACGCGAAGAACCUUACCAGGGCUUGACAUGUCUGGAAUCUCUGUGAAAGCAGAGGGUGCCUUCGGGAGCCGGAACACAGGUGGUGCAUGGCGGUAGUCAGCUCGUGUCGUGAGAUGUUGGGUUAAGUCCUGCAACGAGCGCAAUCCUCAUCCUUAGUUGCCAGCAGUGUGGAUGGGCACUCUAGGGAGACUGCCGGUGACAAACCGGAGGAAGGUGGGGAUGACGUCAAGUCAGCAUGCCCCUUACGUCCUGGGCGACACACGUACUACAAUGCUGUGGACAAAGAGCAGCCAACCCGCGAGGGCGAGGUAAUCUCAUAAACCACGGCUCAGUUCAGAUCGCAGGGUGCAAAUCGCGUGCGUGAAGGCGGAAUCGCUAGUAAUCGCCGGUCAGCAUACGGCGGUGAAUCCGUUCCCGGGCCUUGUACACACCGCCCGUCACACCACGGGAGCUGGCCACGCCCGAAGUCGUUACUCCAACCGUUCGCGGAGGAGGACGCCGAAGGCAGGGCUGGGACUGGUGC
rnacentral:rRNA from 1 species